ensembl:lncRNA
AAAUAAUCCCACUGAGACCCCCCUAGCUGCUUUGAUUGCAAAAAGCCAAAUGUUCCUAUCUACAGCAAGAAAAGGAGCAAAGGGCUCUGCAAACUGGAAGAAAGGACAAGACAAAAAACACAGAUGAGAUGGGAAAGAGCUUUGCCCCAUAUUCCUGCAGCCAACCCACUUGCAAAGAGUAUUUCCAAGGCUUGUUAUGCACAUGCAAGAUCCCGGCAACACUACAGAACUCACUGAAGAUGUGAAUGGUAUGGAAUCACUUCCCCAGCAGACUGAUCCUGCCUCCAUAAACUUGCCAUUAAAGUGUUUUAUAUUUGCAGUGUUACACAUCACAGAAGUGGAUCCCAAUGAUUCUUUGCUCAGAAGUCCUGUUUCUCCACCUCAGUGAUAACCAAUGGACUUCACUCAGCAGAAGUUGUCCCUUUGGAUAUCUUCAGCUUAGACCAUUUCUGGCUGGACAGUGCUGCCUUUGUAGUUAAAUACAAAUACUACAAAUGAGGAGGGUUUGGCUAGAUUUUACUCUUUGUAGCAGGGAUGGUCAGGAAAACCACUGCCCUGUUUUACAGUAGUGGCUUGGGUGACUACUUGGCUGCCUUCAAUUGGCAGUAGCAUUCAUCCCAGUUCUUCAAGCUCAGUUUCUUAAGGAGAACUGUAGGAUUCAAUCCAAAUUGAAAAUGAGUCUUCCACACUUCAGUCUGAGGAACAAAUUCUAGUGUCUGAGCCAUUUCUCUGGCUCCAGUCACAGGGAACACUUCCAAGUACCCUACACAGCCCAAUACGUGCUCCCCUUGCAGACCACACGUGACUCAGCAACACAGGUUUGCCAUCCCUGUAACACUUCCACUCUGUCACAAAGAGGCCAAAAGUUACCCUUAGAUGGAUGAAGCUAAAUGUCAUACUAAACUACAGAAAUACAUUCAAAGAAAUUUCUAAAACUUCUUCUUUGUGAAAUGCUGUUAAGGCAAGGUCUGAAUUACUGCAUCCAUUUUUGAUGGCCCACUUGAAGGAAGAGAUCUAGAGAACAGCAGGUUAUGAUCAAAGGAAUGGGGGAGAUUUAAUCUGGAAAGGAGAAGGCAGAGGGAAAACUGUAAGUUUCAUGUACAUAAAAUGCUACUGUAAAGCAGGGAACUCCUCCCAAUGCCUGUUGCAAUAGAACAGAAUUAAUGGCUUUGAUUGCACAAGGGAGAUGUGAAUUUGACAUAAUGAAAGCUUUCUAGUGGGAAGGUUAGUUUAGCACUCAAAGACUGCAUAUGGAAAAUAUGGAAUAUCCAUCUGUGGAGGUUUUUAAGAAGAGAUUAGACAAUUAUCUGGUCAGAACAGUUAAGGGGAGUGGAUUCAAGAAGCUCUCACAGUAUCUAUUUAUCCUAUAUUUACAGUCCUAGAAAAGA